UAACAAUAGCAUAAAUAAAUGCACAUCGGUUUCGGCCCGAUGAGAGCGGCUAACGCAUUGUUUU
rnacentral:tRNA from 1 species